rnacentral:rRNA from 1 species
UACGAAGGGUGCUAGCGUUGUUCGGAAUCAUUGGGCGUAAAGCGUGCGUAGGCGGUAUGGUAAGUCGGUUGUGAAAGCCCAGGGCUUAACCCUGGAAUUGCAAUCGAUACUGCUGUGCUAGAGUAUGGUGGGGGAUAGUGGAAUUCCUAGUGUAGGGGUGAAAUCCGUAGAUAUUAGGAGGAACACCGGUGGCGAAAGCGACUAUCUACACCAUUACUGACGCUGAGGUACGAAAGUGUGGGGAGCAAACAGG